GACGAACGCUGGCGGCGUGCUUAACACAUGCAAGUCGAACGGAAAGGCCUCUUUCGGGGGGUACUCGAGUGGCGAACGGGUGAGUAACACGUGAGUAACCUGCCCUUGACUUUGGGAUAACUUCAGGAAACUGGGGCUAAUACCGGAUAGGAGCUCCUGCUGCAUGGUGGGGGUUGGAAAGUUUCGGCGGUUGGGGAUGGACUCGCGGCUUAUCAGCUUGUUGGUGGGGUAGUGGCUUACCAAGGCUGUGACGGGUAGCCGGCCUGAGAGGGUGACCGGCCACAUUGGGACUGAGAUACGGCCCAGACUCCUACGGGAGGCAGCAGUGGGGAAUAUUGCACAAUGGGUGGAAGCCUGAUGCAGCAACGCCGUGUGCGGGAUGACGGCCUUCGGGUUGUAAACCGCUUUCGCUCAUGACGAAGCUUUGUGUGACGGUAGUGGGUAAAGAAGCACCGGCUAACUACGUG
rnacentral:rRNA from 1 species